UACGGAGGGUGCAAGCGUUGUUCGGAAUUAUUGGGCGUAAAGAGCGUGUAGGCGGUCGGGUAAGUCAGAUGUGAAAGCCUUCUGCUUAACAGAAGAAGUGCAUUUGAGACUGCUUGGCUGGAGUACGGGAGAGGAGAGUGGAAUUCCCGGUGUAGAGGUGAAAUUCGUAGAUAUCGGGAGGAACACCGGUGGCGAAGGCGGCUCUCUGGCCCGAUACUGACGCUGAGACGCGAAAGCGUGGGGAGCAAACAGG
rnacentral:rRNA from 1 species